AGCCUUGUGGUGAUUCACACUAGAAUGCAAAUCUAGAGACGCACACCAGGGUGUGCCGAGGCUU
rnacentral:tRNA from 1 species